AUAAUGUAAGUUAUACCCUAUAAUUUUAGCUUAUCUCCUGGAAAGCGUGUAUAGGGGCAACUCUAUCAGGGGUUCAAAUCCCCUUCUCUCCGCCA
rnacentral:tRNA from 1 species